CAUCACUCACUAUUCAUUUCAGUACCUCUGUGAUUCUUCACCUAAACGCAUGCAGCCAAUGGAAUAGUAGGAGUCAUCACCAUCAAGAAGUCUCCUUUGACUUGUAAGAGUUUUUCUGCCAGCCAAAGAGUUGUUGCUGAGGACUUGAUAUAUAAGCAUGCCAAAAGCUAGGAUGCUCCCAGAAUAGAAUAUGUUUUAGGAUUCAGCAUAGUUAAAGUGGAACAUUAAGGUGAAAAAGCAAAAAGUUGAGCAUACUUACAGUGAGUGCAACAACACACUGCAAAGAAAAAUAGGAGGAAUUCCAGAAAUGUGGUCUUGGUAUGUGAAAGCCCCAGGAAGUAAAUGACCUGAGCACAUGCACCAACUUACUGCCUGGUUUUGGACUGGGCAGUGAUAAGUAAAAAUAAAUAAAUAAAUAAACUGAAAUGUUCCACACUGGUUACCAAGAGCAGUGUAAGUUCUGCUUAGAUUAGAAGUGAAUAAAAUUCCUCUUGCCUGCUGUUUACCCUCAGCUCCAGGAAAGUCUCUAAGGUGUAAUUAUUCAGGCCUUUCUUGUGUGAGCUGAAUAGACUAAAGCUGCUUGCACUCCCAGAGUGGGAAAAGCAUGCAGAUACCUGCAGCGCUGUGAGGUAGGCCCUGUACUGCCCAGAGACUGAACAGGGGCAGUGAC